GGAAGAUGACAAGAAUAUAAAAAUGAAGAUAAAAGAUAAAGACGGAAGAUGACAAGAAGAUAAAGAUAAAGAAAAAAGGAAACACAAAAACGUGUUUGGCCACAUAAAGCUAAAAGUAGAUAUGUAAAAGUCUUGAAAUAAAUAGUAGUAGUCACAUAACUUAGUCUACAUAUGCAUGUGCAUUAUUAAAGAUAUGUUGACAAGUGUAAAGUAUGGUAGGUAGGGUGUAUUAUUUAAAAGACAAGUGUAAAAGUAGUACGGUAGGGAUAGUUGUAAAGUAAGUGUAGAGUAUAGUAAGUGCAGUAAAAUGCACUAAUUCCUUUCUAUAUAAAGGAAGGAAUAUGCCAUAAAGGGGGGCAAGUCCUGAAAUAUAAAAUUUUCUUUUAAAAACACUCUCUCAACCAAAAAAUUAGUAUUUAGAUAAAUGGAGCAACAAUCUGAAAUUCAAUUAGACAUUUCAGAUAGCAUGAAUACGCAAGAAACAAAGAAUAUUGGAAGCUUUUUCUCGCUUUAUUUUCCCUCGUAAGCAUCACGUGUGGUUUAAACAUCAUUACUUCACUCAUCGUACAAGCAUCACUUGAAGUGUAAAAUAUUAAAUCUUUUAUUGUUAUCAUUAUGGAUUAAGUUAAGCAACCCAAAUCAUUGUAUGAACAUGUUUCUCAUCAAAGUACUUACCAACACUUCUAAGUUGAGGCAUCGUUUUAGUCGUCACUCGUAUUUUUUGUUUGAUACAGUGAUUAUCUCAAUUCUUCAAUGUGCAAAUUAAAUUGUAAACUAUUUUGGGUGAGUUUGUACUA